GGGCCCAGUCGGAGCUUAACGUUGCAGUUGCGAGAGUGGUGACAGCAACGGUGACAGCAACGCGGCAGCGUUCGGUCGACCCGCUGCGGCACUCCGGAUUCUACGACCUGCAGGGACAGUCUCUCCCGUCCAUGCCCGGACGGACUUUUAAUCCGCGGGUCGAGGGUUCGAUCCCCUCCGGGCCCA
rnacentral:tRNA from 1 species